rnacentral:rRNA from 1 species
UACGGAGGGUGCAAGCGUUAUCCGGAUUCACUGGGUUUAAAGGGUGCGUAGGUGGGUUGAUAAGUCAGUGGUGAAAUCCCCGAGCUUAACUUGGGAACUGCCAUUGAUACUAUUGAUCUUGAAUACCGUGGAGGUCAGCGGAAUAUGUCAUGUAGCGGUGAAAUGCUUAGAUAUGACAUAGAACACCAAUUGCGAAGGCAGCUGGCUACGCGAAUAUUGACGCUGAGGCUCGAAAGCGUGGGGAUCAAACAGG